GCCCCCCAAGAUAGCUCAGUUGGUAGUGCACAAGACUCUUAAUCUCAGGGACGUGGGUUUGAGCCCCAAAGUGGGCA